rnacentral:rRNA from 1 species
CUACGUAGCUCAGAGUUUGAUCCUGGCUCAGGAUGAACGCUGGCGGCGUGCUUAACACAUGCAAGUCGAACGGGGGUUACUUCGUUGAGAUCUUCGGAUCAAAGCGAAAUAACUCGAGUGGCGGACGGGUGAGUAACACGUGAGUAACCUGCCUUUUGCUGGGGAAUAACUGUGGGAAACCAUGGCUAAUACCGCAUGUUGUGCAUGACAGGCAUCUGUUAUGUAUGAAAGGAGAAAUCCGGCAGAAGAUGGGCUCGCGUCCGAUUAGGUAGUUGGUGGGGUAACGGCCUACCAAGCCCGCGAUCGGUAGCCGGACUGAGAGGUCGAACGGCCACAUUGGGACUGAGACACGGCCCAG